GAGAUACACACCACACACUGCCCUUAGCUGAGGUACACACCAAACACCAAACACUGCCCUUAGCUGAGAUACACACCAAACACCACACACUGCCCUUAGCUGAGAUACACACCAAACACCAAACACUGCCCUUAGCUGAGAUACACACCAAACACCAAACACUGCCCUUAGCUGAGAUACACACCAAACACUGCCCUUAGCUGAGAUACACACCAAACACUGCCCUUAGCUGAGAUACACACACCACACACUGCCCUUAGCUGAGAUACACCCGCACAUAAGCACUGGCCCUUUUUACAAGACUGGGGCUGCGGUCUAUCUGCAAAAAAUUUGGUCUAGCAGAGCAAAAUGUGUAUUAACAUUAUGCCUUGGGGGAAAACCAUGUUGGGCGUUGGGUUAAAUGUGUAAGGGAAUACUGUAUACUGAAAACCAAUCAUGGUAGUGAUGUGAAUUGAAAUAGAAAGAGAAAAGGUCAAUGGUACAACUGUCAUUGUCCCACUGCAUUGUAGCCAGGCUUUAAAAAGGAAAAUAUGGUGUCUGCACUAACUGUAAUCCAGUAGGUACAUUUCAACAAGUGGUCGCCUAUCAUAUAAUCCCGUGAUGGAAUGGAGAAGUCCGUCCCCAUCUGACCUUUUAAAGAAAGGUCAACUGGAUGAGGGCCACUGAACACACACACAAG
ensembl:lncRNA